CCGCGCGCCUUACACAGCAACAUAACUGGCCUGCUAGCCUCUUCCCCACCCCACCCCACCAUCACCAUCACCUCCUCCUCCUCCAUCCCGACAAGCUAUCAGCUGACGGUCGUACGGGCCGAGGGCCGUGCUGCGCGCCUUGUUGCCAAGUGCAGUGUCGCAGGCUGCGUGACGCGGCCGCCAGUGCCGGACAUGACCUUCACCAUGCGCUGUCGCCGUGCCUCCUGGCAAGUGACGUCGAGACUCUUGACCGGCGCGUGACGUCGCCUGGACACCUGUUUCCGCCUGACGUCAGCAGCGGCUGCGGAGUGCUACUCACGUCCCGGGCUGUCAGCUGGCGUGCGUGUCAGUUUCAUGACAAGGACAUGCCGCCGAGACUGCGCCAGCCUGAAAUAGCAGCAAUCAAUGGCCAGUAUAGGGCUACGGCAGGCGCACCGCGUUCCCACGCUCGUCGAUGGCAGCAGCAGCAGCGGCGGCGUGCAGCACUGUAACUUCUGUAAGCCAAUGAUCAGUGACAGAUGAUCAGAAAUCGGGACAGCAGUCGCUGGUUGUUGUGCUCUUCACUGGUGGCCUCAUCAGGCAGCAGGAGCCCAAUACACUGCUGUCUUAAUCAGCUGUGGUCUCCGCACGCACAUCGACGACAGCAACACCGUGUGGAUUCGCGAUAGCGCCGCGGUGGUGUACAAAGCCUCGCUGUCUCUUGCUGCGAGCACCGCACGUGCAAAUGACACAGGUCGGCAUCAAGGACAGCGCAGCUCGCUAUUAAUACAUCAUUUCACUCCACUCUGCUCGGCAGCAGACACGACUGCAGGUGAUUAUGAGUCCGCGAGACUGUUGCCAAGUACGAAAAGUCUUGCGCAGGUAACUACACGCAGUCGGUAGUACUGCCGAUCGCUUCCCAAAAUCCAAGUUCUAGUGCGGCCGACGAAAUGGAUGUAAAGGUCAGGGAGGAUCACACCUGCUGACCUUGCGUGAACGUACUGCGUGCCAGACGGCUUCAGACUGACAGCUCAGUCGUCUGGCUCUGCUGCUGCGGUCAACUCAAGCGGGAGAUGACACUCGGUAAAACCCGAGGUUUUAAAUGGCGCCUCUACCGUUGCCGUGAGAUGAGCCAUUGGUACCGGUUUCUAUCAUCUGGUUUACCAGCGGGCCUCCUGGUAGCAGUGCGGCAUCAGCGUUGACGGAGGGACCAUGGAGGUUGUCGGACGGUGCCUGCCUAGUAGAGGUCUACACACACUGAGCGAGUGAACGCUUGUGUACUCACGUACUGUGUGAGUAAGCGUGUGUGUACACAUAUAUAAGUGAACGUGGCACUCGCCUCCCGUGGAGCCAUGCACGGCACUGCGCAGUUGCCAGGCGGGUUAUGCAACCAGUUCGGUCGCCCUGGAAACGCCGCUUUUUCUCUUGUCGUCUGCGGGGGCUACUCGCCAUUGUGGCUGACAACUGUGACUGGCAAGUCCAGCUAACGACUGCAGCUGGCAAGUUUGGCCUACGCCUGUCGCACACAAAACAACAGGGAGGCAGUCAUGGGGGCUGGCUGAAGAGGUGGGGUGGACACACUUUGGCACCGUACCGCCAACCCUGGCCACCGCCUGCCAGCAGAAGGAGGCAACUAAAUCGUUCUCUUGACACCGUCACUCACAGCACUUCUGAUGAAGCAGCGUGUUCAUAGUGGAAUAACCGGGCCAGCAAACUCUGACGAGUGAAACAGGAACAAGUGCACACUUUGCUGGCAAUCUGAACAGUGUUAAUGAGUGUCAACACCAAUAAGAACAUGGCGCAUUAGUCUAGACUGGAGCCCUAAGAAUCUGUCCGUCAACACAGAAAGUAUUAGGGACAGGACAAGGAGAGAACCAUCACUCUCUACAAUAUAUGGAAGCGUUCUGUUCGUGUCGCAAGACAAACCUCGGCACACUGCGUUCGCUCCCAGCAUCUCGGCUAGCCAAAACUUCUUGUUGACGUAGCUGGAGGUCCCAAACCAGUCCUCGCCCAGUGCCGACUGAAAGUGAGAGGUAACGUGUGUGUGUGUCCGGCAUGCCCUCGUCGUCUGGGCCCGGACCUGAGCCAGGUGUCGCCGUGGGCAGCAGCGCCCAGGAAAAGCACCCGCUGUAUAGACUGAGCAGCAACGACAGCACCCGCAGCGCAGACGUCACCACCUCUAACAACCACGCUUCGUACGGCGCGCCGCAGCCUCGUGUGGAGAGACUGGUCAGCAGCAGUAGCAGCAGCAGUACUAGCACCAGCGGAAACCCCAAGGCAUGCAGAGAAACUAACGGCAUGGGGGCACAGGACGCCAAGGUGGCGGCCAUAGCGGCAGCCACGGGGCGCCCUGACCUAGCCGACCAUUUCCCUGACGGCGGCUGGGGGUGGGUGGUGGUCGCCGCCGCCACCUGCGUGCACGUGCUGUGUAGCGGCAUUCACCUCGCCUUCGGCACCCUCUCCUUGCACAUCCGCGAGCACUUCUCUACUGACGACAUCGAAACAACUUGGUUAGGGAGUCUUGGAGUCGGCAUCUCGCUCUUCAUCGCCCCAUUCAUCACAAUCAUUUGUCGGAGAAAGAGUCCGCGACUGUAUGGAGUCAUCGGCGGCCUCAUCUGUGCGCUGGGUUGUCUUUUCUUGGCUUUCUCUAACAAACCUGAGCAGCUCUUCAUCUCCCACUGCGUUGUCAUGUCUUUGGGAAGUGGCGUUACCAUAGCAACAGCCAACAUCAUGGUCGGGAGGUAUUUCAAACGACGGCGGGAGAUUGCUGAAACCAUUUUAGUGGCGGGGUCUGGUCUGGGCACAGCGCUCACAUCUUUUCUCUUUCAUCAGCUUAUCAGCAGCAUCAAGUGGAUGCACGGCUUGCAGUGCAUGGCGGGGCUGCUGAUCCUGACCAUCAUUGCUGGGGCACUGUACCGCUCCGCCUCACUGUACCACCCGCGCCGUGACGUCAUCCUCCACCUCAAGUCGCAGAAGAAGAACCGCCGCGACCGGGAGGCGGAGAAGCCGCCAUACUUGGACUUCAGCGCACUGCGCAUGCGCUCGCUGCAGGCCCUGAUGGUCAUCGCCGCUGUCGUGGGCAUCGGAAUCCACGUGCCAUUUGUUCUGCUGGUUCGGACGGCGAAGCAGGCAGGUGUGGACGCCUAUCACCUGCUGCUGCACAGCGUGUACGUGGGCUUGGGCUUCGUGCUGGGCUGCGCGGCACUGGGCUACGUCACCAUCCGCACCAGCGCCGACUGCUUCAUCUGCCGGCGCCACCUAGUGCAGACGGCCGCCAUCGCCGGGGGCGUGUUGACGCUGUUGCUGGUGAUGGCGCGCGACGCCAGCGCCUUCUCUCUCUACGCCUGGGCUUACGGCAUGGCUGCUGGCGCCUACUACCUCGGCCUCAAGCUCUACGCCCUGGAGCUGGUCAGCCAGCAGCUCAUGGAGCGCGCCUGGAGCUUUCUGUCCGCCGUGCAGUGCUUCCCUUUCCUGUUUGGCGCGCCAGUGGCUUCCUACCUGAAGGCGGCUUACCAGACGGACGAUGCAGGCUACGUGUUCGCCGGCACCACUAUGGUUGCUGGCGGGCUGCUCUUCUACUCCAUGCCCUACUUCGAGCGGCACGCCUCCAACCACGUGGUGUUGCAGAAGCAGACCAGCACGUGCUCCUCCACCAUGACUGCGGAGGCUGCGGCUCUGCUGGAAGUGGACCUGUCGGAUGGGGGCGGAGGCGGCGGUUGCAAGGUCUCCAACCACCUGCACUGCGUGCUGGCGCCGCGCGCGUGCCGCAGUGUAGGCAUGGGCAAAGAUGUUGGCCGGGGAUGCCAGGCCCCGGGCCCGCAGCACGGCAAGGAACGCGAGCGCAACGGCGGCGGCAAGGCCACGGUGCUGUCCCGCAUCAUGGAGGAGCGCGACGCCGCGCGGUGCUCGCCCGAUGCCGCGUGCAGAGCUGCAUCCUGCAGUAGGGGCAGCAACUCUGUGGAGCAGACCUCCGCCAAACAGGAAAACGGCGAGCCGGUCGCCGAUGGACCGUCUGACAGCACCUUCUCCAACAAGACGGAUAAGUCAAGCGGACGCGAGUCCAGCAAGACCUCGGACAGCAAGAAGAGCAAGAAGACCGAUGUGCGGGUCGACUUCUUUGACCCGCCCAGCCAGGAGAAGGAGUCCACGGCCACAGUCUCCUACGACAGUGACCUCUACAUUAAUCUGUGUGAAGCUCAAGUGUAAGCAUCCGCUGCUACCUUGACAAUGACUGUCUGAACUUAUGUUUUCACGGCCUUGCGUCUGCUGAUCACGAAGGCCAGACACUUAAAAUCACGAAGAAAGCAAGGUUCCAAGCAUUUCUAGAAAUGUACGUGAAUGCAACAUGUCGGUUCGAUAAUGGAUCAUGCGGAUUCUCAAGUUUCUCGAUACACCGAGCCCAUCACUCAUGUGGCUUGAGAUACCAUGUCGUACGCCUGAGGCGCGAUUCUACGCAUCCCAGUGUUUGCGCCUUCCAUUUUCAUACUAAAAUUGUUUUGGCCACUAACUUAUCACUCAUCUAAUUCUUUGGUGACCUUUGCUGCAACCUCGUCGUCGUCAUUAUCAUCUGAAGACGACAUGAUCUUGUGAGGGAACUGCCCCUCUAGUAGAAUUAAGAUAAAGCAACUCCUGUUCGUCUGUCAUGGCAGCGUCACUUGGCCAAAUUCUGAAACACAUCAACAUUUGCUACUUCAUCUGACAUUCACCUUGCGCAUUGGUGUGAACGUGCCUAAAUGUACUGCGUUUAACACUGUGGUCUCCACUGAUGUGACCCCAGUAGUCCCGGACAUUUUGCCCACGCUCUCAUCUGCAUGGCACCAUUUAGCCCCAGGGGGAGUGGAGGAACGAGCGAGCUGCCGAGGACAUGACUAAGGGCAAAGAUGUUGUCGUUAUAUUUUGCUUCAUUUACUGUCUAACAAAUAAAGAGUACGGGUGACCUUU
rnacentral:misc_RNA from 1 species